AGCUCACGCUGAUUACGUCCCUGCCAUUUGUACACACCGCCCGUCGCUGUCCGGGACUGAGCUGUCUCGAGAGGACUGCGGACUACUGUAUUGAGGCCUGCGGGUCGUGAUAUGGUGGGAAACAGUUCAAUCGCAAUGGCUUGAACUGGGUAAAAGUCGUAACAAGGUAUCUGUAGGUGAACCUGCAGAUGGAUCAUCGC
rnacentral:rRNA from 1 species